rnacentral:rRNA from 1 species
GAUGAACGCUAGCGGCAGGCCUAAUACAUGCAAGUCGAACGGGGCAGCAAUGCUCAGUGGCGCACGGGUGCGUAACGCGUAUGCAACCUACCUUUCAGUGGGGAAUAGCCCGUCGAAAGACGGAUUAAUACCGCAUAAGAUCAUAGAAUGGCAUCAUUUAGUGAUUAAACAUUUAUGGCUGAAAGAUGGGCAUGCGUUAGAUUAGCUAGUUGGUGAGGUAGCAGCUCACCAAGGCGAUGAUCUAUAGGGGUUCUGAGAGGAAGAUCCCCCACACUGUACUGAGAUACGGACCAGACUCCUACGGGAGGCAGCAGUAGGGAAUAUUGGGCAAUGCCCGCAAGGGUGACCCAGCCAUGCCGCGUGCAGGAAGAAGGCUUUCUGAGUUGUAAACUGCUUUUGGAAGGGAACAAAACGGGCCUGCGGGCCAACUUGAGUGUACCUUCAGAAUAAGCACCGGCUAACUCCGUGCCAGCAGCCGCCGUAAGAC